UUCAAUAAUUAAUGUUCACUUUUACUUUUAUAAUCUAUACUAAAUUGACAAUAAACAUGCAAUUACAGGGAAAUUAUCUUUAGAUGCAAAGGGGUGAAAAGCAUUAGGGAGCAUAUUCAAACGUUGAGACCAAAAACAAGUCUGUACUAUUCAGUCAUUGAUGUAUGGGCUGCAAUUUUAAAUGAAACUGAGAAGUACAAGUCUGAUGACUCUCCACUCCGCUUCUUUUGUACUGUUGGAGAUUUGACUUUCAGCCUUGAUCCAACAAAAAGAUUUCCAGAGACAUUACCUCUAUUCUCCAAAGGGAUGGAUAAAAUACUCAGCACAUUCUCUAUGGAAAGAUUAGAAGAUAUUACCAUGAUAUUCUUUCCCAUUAAUAAGAAUGGACACUAUUAUUUGAUCUGUUACAAUCUGAAGACCCCGGAAUGCUUCUUAAUUGACAAUGUUCGCCGUGAUGACAAACCAAGACCAUAUUAUACAAGGGUUCCGGAUGUUUUGCAUUCACACUUAUGCAACUAUUUAAGUGAUAAAGGAUAUGCACAUGUGACAAAGAGAAUACGUAGACUGAAGCCAGAUUACUUGAAGAUGUCGUGGCAAACAGUUUAUAAUUCUACUGACUGUGGAAUAUUCCUGAUGCGACAUAUGGAAACCUUCAAAGGGGAUGUCAAAAAUUGGGAAAUUGAUUUUGUGGAA